UACAGAGGUCUCAAGCGUUGUUCGGAUUCAUUGGGCGUAAAGGGCGCGUAGGCGGCGGGGUAAGUCGGGUGUGAAAUCUCAGAGCUCAACUCUGAAACUGCACUCGAUACUGCUCUGCUUGAGGACUGGAGAGGAGACUGGAAUUCACGGUGUAGCAGUGAAAUGCGUAGAUAUCGUGAGGAAUACCAGAGGCGAAGGCGGCUACCUGGACAAUUGCUGACGCUCAGGCACGAAAGCGUGGGGAGCAAAAGGG
rnacentral:rRNA from 1 species